AACGAACGCUGGCGGCAUGCCUAACACAUGCAAGUCGAACGAGACCUUCGGGUCUAGUGGCGCACGGGUGCGUAACGCGUGGGAACCUGCCCUUAGGUUCGGAAUAACUCCCCGAAAGGGGUGCUAAUACCGGAUAAUGUCUUCGGACCAAAGAUUUCUCGCCUUUGGAUGGGCCCGCGUUGGAUUAGCUAGUUGGUAGGGUAAAAGCCUACCAAGGAGACGAUCCAUAGCUGGUCUGAGAGGAUGAUCAGCCACACUUGGACUGCGACACGGCCCAGACUCCUACGGGAGGCAGCAGUGGGGAAUAUUGGACGAUGGGCGAAAGUCUGAUCAAGCCAUGCCGCGUGAGUGAUGCAGGCCGUAGGGUUGUAAAGCUCUUUUACCCGGGAUGAUAAUGACAGUACCGGGAGAAUAAGCACCGGCUAACUCCGUG
rnacentral:rRNA from 1 species